CAGGGUCUCGCGACUCUCAAACCCAACCGUGCUCUAAACUACUUUUCUGCUGAGGCGGGCCGCUCGCUGGGGGAGCUCUAGGCCUGUACAGGUGGCCUGCCAAAGCAACCAAACAUUCUCUCUUUUGAUAUACCAAAACUUUCUUGAAAUUCAAUCA
rnacentral:misc_RNA from 1 species